rnacentral:rRNA from 1 species
GAGGGGCAGCAUCAAUUGCUUGCAAUUGGAUGGCGACCGGCGCACGGGUGCGUAACGCGUAUAGAAUCUGCCUUGUACAGGAGGAUAGCCUUUAGAAAUGAAGAUUAAUACUCCAUAAUGUUGAGAUAUGGCAUCAUAUUUUAAUUAAAGAUUUAUCGGUACAAGAUGACUAUGCGUCCUAUUAGCUAGAUGGUAAGGUAACGGCUUACCAUGGCUACGAUAGGUAGGGGGUCUGAGAGGAUUAUCCCCCACACUGGUACUGAGACACGGACCAGACUCCUACGGGAGGCAGCAGUGAGGAAUAUUGGUCAAUGGAGGCAACUCUGAACCAGCCAUGCCGCGUGUAGGAAGACUGCCCUAUGGGUUGUAAACUACUUUUAUAUGGGAAGAAACCCCUCUACGUGUAGAGGCUUGACGGUACCAUAAGAAUAAGCACCGGCUAACUCCGUGCCAGCAGCCGCGGUAAUACGGAGGGUGCAAGCGUUAUCCGGAAUCAUUGGGUUUAAAGGGUCCGCAGGCGGUCAAUUAAGUCAGAGGUGAAAUCCUGCAGCUUAACUGUAGAACUGCCUUUGAUACUGGUUGACUUGAGUUAUACGGAAGUAGGUAGAAUAAGUAGUGUAGCGGUGAAAUGCAUAGAUAUUACUUAGAAUACCGAUUGCGAAGGCAGCCUACUACGUAUAUACUGACGCUCAUGGACGAAAGCGUGGGGAGCGAACAGG